UGCAGGGGUGCUGCCUGGGCAGAGCUGCUUCUCCCAGGCCUCCACCAUAGUACUGCAGCCCCAGCGCUGCGCUGCCACUGGCCGUGUGUCCCCCUUCUCACACUUCCUGUUUGUCUCUCUGUUCCUCGUCUGCCAGGAGGAGAGCCAGAAGAUGCAGUUUCUCCGGAGCAUCUGCAAAGUGUGCAACACCAGCAGGGCCCCCGGCAUGUCAAAAGGGCUAGACCUCUUCUGCCAGAGAUACGAGCUGGCAGAGAAUAUCAAGAUGCUGCUAGAAGAGGAGCGCAGCGGCCAAAUGUGGAUGGCGGUGCAGCAACACGCCAUGCUUGCCAUUGCCAAACUGAGCACAGUGGAGGGGGUGCUGGAGGGCAAAGAGAAAAGCCUCCUCCAAGUGUGCUUCUGCAGCAUCUUCUUGGCUCCUCCAAAAGAGGAAAUGCAGGGCCUGAGCCAUGACCUCUACCCUGUGACCAUGCAAACCAUGGACAUCAUGUUAAAAAAGCUGAUGCUCGGGUGUCGUGUCUCCAGAGUCAGCGAGAUGCUGCAGGACAUCUUCCAGGUCUGGCAUGUGCAAAGAGUGGGCUUCACAAGGGCCCUGGGGAGAUGGGGAGUCCGGUCUGGAGUGGACAGUCCCACCCCACGCCAUGCAGAGAGAGUGCACUGCUGGGGGGCUGCCCCCCUCCCUGGGGGAACCAGGGGCUGCCCACCAGGCUGUUCCACAUCACAGUGGCCGCAGAGAGUGGCAUCUGCCUUCCUGCCUGCCUGCAGGGCUGGCCCAGGGUCUCAAGCCUGCGUGGGACCCCAGGGCAGGAACCUCACUACAGGCUUUGCUCAAGACCAGAGGAAGCCUUAACGGACUGGGCACGUGCAGCCCAGGGACUGAGCAGCGCUGCUUCUGCUGGAGCAGCGGCUGCUCCCAGGGCUCACCAGCCGCUUCUCUCUUCCCAGAUGCUCUUGACUUUCACCAAGUCCAGGAAGGCAUCUGUGCGGGAGAGGGCUAUAGGCAGGAUGACCAUGCUGAGCCAUUUGCUGGCCAACUUGCUGAAGGCUGAUCCAAAUGGGGACAGACAGGCUUCCUACGCAGAGAUCCAGCUGCCAAUCCUCGGACAGCUGCUAGGACAUCUCAUCCUGCUCCUGUCGUUCAAGGAGGAAGAGACCAGCCGUUUGGCUUUGGAUAUUCUUUGUUCCCUCUUCCAAUUCAAGCAUCAGCAACGCUGUGCGACACUGCCAGAGGAGAACGCACAGCUCCAAGGGGACUGGAAAGCUAAGACCACUGCCUUGCGCUCUUCGCCCAGCGUCGCACACAUUACCGAG